GGGCUACACACGUGCUACAAUGGAUAGUACAAAGGGUCGCGAAGCCGCGAGGUGGAGCAAAUCCCAAAAAACUAUUCUCAGUUCGGAUUGUAGGCAGCAACUCGCCUACAUGAAGCCGGAAUCGCUAGUAAACGUGGAUCAGCAUGCCACGGUGAAUACGAUCCCGGGCCUUGUACACACCGCCCGUCACACCACGAGAGUUUGUAACUCCCGAAGUCGGUUGGGUAACCUUUUUGGAGCCAG
rnacentral:rRNA from 1 species